GACUUCUCCACUGUCUCAACCACGAACUCGGCGAAAUUGCACUACGAGUAAAGAUGCUCGUUACGCGCAGCAGGACGGAAAGACCCCGGGACCUUUACUACAGCUUGGUAUUGGUGUUCGGUACGGCUUGUGUAGGAUAGGUGGGAGACUGUGAAGCAUGCACGCCAGUGUGUGUGGAGUCAACGUUGAAAUACCACUCUGGUCGUUCUGGAUAUCUAACCUCGGUCCGUGAUCCGGAUCAGGGACAGUGCCUGGUGGGUAGUUUAACUGGGGCGGUUGCCUCCUAAAAGGUAACGGAGGCGCCCAAAGGUUCCCUCAGCCUGGUUGGCAAUCAGGUUUUGAGUGUAAGUGCACAAGGGAGCUUGACUGUGAGACAGGCAUGUCGAGCAGGGACGAAAGUCGGGACUAGUGAUCCGGCGGUGGCUUGUGGAAGCGCCGUCGCUCAACGGAUAAAAGGUACCCCGGGGAUAACAGGCUGAUCUUGCCCAAGAGUCCAUAUCGACGGCAUGGUUUGGCACCUCGAUGUCGGCUCGUCGCAUCCUGGGGCUGGAGUAGGUCCCAAGGGUUG
rnacentral:rRNA from 1 species